ACUGGGGUGGCAGAGCAUGGUAAAUUGCGAAAGGCCUAAGCCCUUUUUACCAGAGGUUCAAAUCCUCUUCUCAGUU
rnacentral:tRNA from 1 species